GACGAACGCUGGCGGCGUGCUUAACACAUGCAAGUCGAGCGGAAAGGCCACUGCGGUGUUACUUGAGCGGCGUACGGGCGGGUAACACGCGCGUAGUUUACCCCCCACUUUGGGGGAGCUACCGGAAACGGUGAUUAACACCGGCGAUGAAAAUAUGUAGCAUGGCGUGUGUUGGAAAGAGGUUUGGAUAGGGAUGUGCUCGAGGCCUAUCAGCUUGAUGGUGAGGUAAUGGCUCACCAUGGCUUCGACGGGUAGCCGGCCUGAGAGGGUGACCGGUCACACAGGGACUGAGACACGGCCCAGACUCCUCCGGGAGGCAGCAGUGGGAGAUAUAGGACAAUGGGCGGAAGCCUGAACGAGCGUCGCCGCGUGGGGGAUGACGGCCUUCGGGUUGUAACCCUCGUUCGGUAGCGACGAAGCGCAAGUGACGGUAGGUACAGAAGAAGCACCGGCUAACUACGUG
rnacentral:rRNA from 1 species